CCUACGGGUUGCACCAGUGGGGAAUAUUGCACAAUGGGCGCAAGCCUGAUGCAGCCAUGCCGCGUAUGUGAAGAAGGCCUUCGGGUUGUAAAGCACUUUCAGCGGGGAGGAAGGCGGUGAGGUUAAUAACCUCACCGAUUGACGUUACCCGCAGAAGACGCACCGGCUAACUCCGUGCCAGCAGCCGGGGUAAUACGGAGGGUGCAAGCGUUAAUCGGAAUUACUGGGCGUAAAGCGCACGCAGGCGGUCUGUCAAGUCGGAUGUGAAAUCCCCGGGCUCAACCUGGGAACUGCAUUCGAAACUGGCAGGCUAGAGUCUUGUAGAGGGGGUAGAAUUCCAGGUGUAGCGGUGAAAUGCGUAGAGAUCUGGAGGAAUACCGGUGGCGAAGGCGGCCCCCUGGACAAAGACUGACGCUCAGGUGCAAAAGCGUGGGGAGCAACCAGGAUUAGAUACCCUUGUAGUC
rnacentral:rRNA from 1 species